GGCCAGAGUGGCGGUGGACAGUGCAACCCAGCAAAUGGCUAUGUUGGGCUUGGUGCUGGUUUUGCAUCCUUUCUCCCCUUUUGGCGAGGGCCUCCUACAGGGUCAAAAAUUUCGAGGGAAAUGUAGGGUGAGCUCCCCAUGAACACUCAAGGAGGUGGCCUCAAUGCAACUGAUGUUGUUCAUGUGGGAAGAUAGAUCGUCUUGGUUCAAGGGAAGAAAGUUUGUAUAAAUGGGAGUCAAGCGGCAAAACAUCAUUGGCCUCCCUGACGGCAUGACCGUCAAGGCCAUGGACCUCUGGAUGUCACUGGCUGCCAAGUUCACGGAUAAGAUAUUUCUCGUUGUCGAGGCAAAAAGAAUUAUCUCCUAUCUCAGACACUCUUCUAUGGUGUGAAGAAGGUAAGGGGGUUAUCGCGUGAUUGUCUUCGACAUGUGGGGGUGACGGCCUUUGCUGACUAAAUAUGUAAACCAUGAAUAGAAAUCAUUCAGGCCAAUGUUUGAUUUAUAUUUUUGGAAGAAGAGACAUUUCAGGUUUGAGGAUGUGCGAGCAACACUGAUGGUACCAGAGGCUGACUAGGCACUCCAUUGCCAUUUCUGAGUCUCACAUGCCACCCUCGCUAUCGCUGCAUACAAAUGUUAUCCACUUCAUCUUGCUUCAUGUCCCAGGUAUGAGUUGUUGCAUGCUCUUCAUUGUUCUAUCGGUCUACUGGUACAUAGUAUGCGUGUCCUUCUCCAUUGUGUUCUGGGUCUGCUGGUCCAGAGACUUACGUUGAGCACGUUUCUACACUUGGCACACAAUGAACUCAAUUCUAUAGGCUUCUUGAAGUCCUACCUUUGGGUGAGUCAAAUUUUCUUGAGAUUCUAGAAUCCGUGUCCUGGGAUUUCAGUACAUCUCAGGAAACAAAUUGGAAACUUUUAUGUUGUUCUUUCCAGGAGUUCUUUUCUCGAUUUGGUUUUCAAGUUUAUUCCAGAGCCAACCUUUGUGCCAACCACUGAUGCAAGCAAGAAAGAAGCUUUAAUGAACAAUCUUUGGGGAUAAGUACAUCAUCAUAUAAUUUUGUUAUCUUACUAAAAAUAGGACGACUGAGUAGAAUUAGUUCUUUUUUGUGGAAACUAGACUGAUGAUGAUGGUUCGGGUAAAGAUAAAAUGAAAAAGUGGUAAGAAACUAAGAAUGUGUCUAAAUCAAUAAGCUCACUUGUUUUAUCAGUCUUGCACUUGUCAAACUUUCUUUUAGGUGACAUUAUUAUUUGUAGUAUUUCAUGCCACACGAGG